UACACACAUCCAACUACAAAUUACAGGAGACCAAGUACAAGGACAAAACUGUACUGUUCGGCGUUAUAACUGUGCAGAUAUAAAAGUAAAAAUCAACGACAACAAAAACCACUGGAAGAGAAUCAAGGACAGAAACAAUGAAUGCUGCACCAUGGUUAUCAGCUGUGCUACUGCUUUGUGUAGCCGCAACAACUGCCAGUCCAUGUGUAAAUCAAGGGUCAAUUACAACCGCAGCAGUAGCAACAACAACUGCCGGUGAAAGCCCAACACCAGGUUUGAUACAGACCAGAGCCGUUGCAAAAACAACCACCGGUCCAAC